AUACUAUGGUGAGGACAAGCUCUUGUGUAUCUUUUCAUAUGCUCACAUGCAAUAUACAAACUCUCUUCUUCGCCUUGCUCGAAUCUAGCGAUAUCAUUCUUUAUUCU
rfam:Arabis alpina cultivar Pajares scaff_59490_1_contig_3, whole genome shotgun sequence.